CAGCAGCCGCGGGAAUACGAGGGGGGCAAGCGUUGUUCGGAAUUAUUGGGCGUAAAGGGUGCGUAGGCGGUUUGACAAGUCUUAUGUGAAAUCUCUGGGCUCAACCCAGAGUCUGCAUGGGAAACUGUCGGGCUUGAGUAUGGGAGAGGUGAGUGGAAUUUCCGGUGUAGCGGUGAAAUGCGUAGAUAUCGGAAGGAACACCUGUGGCGAAAGCGGCUCACUGGACCAUAACUGACGCUGAGGCACGAAAGCUAGGGGAGCAAACAGGAUUAGAUACCCCCGUAGUCCCUGUCUCUUAUAC
rnacentral:rRNA from 1 species